UCAUGGGAAUUUGAAUCUGCAGAAGAAGUAGAGCCUCAAUCAGAAAAAGAAAAAUCCCUUGAAGAUGAGUUACCAAUAGAGUUUCCACAAGAAAAUGAGUUACUUGAAGAAGAAAUAGAACUUAAAGUUGAAGAAAACAACUUUUUUAUCCUUGGAGAGUCAUUGGAAGAGGGCUUAUAUGGAAAUGAGUCAGAAAAGAAGUUGGUGGUUGAGGAAAUUGAUAAAACCAUCAACUUGAGCUCAUUGAUGGAUCUUUCACAUACACCAUCAGAAGACCCUUAUCUCUCAUGGAUACCUCCUUCAUCAUUUUAUAUCCCCCAUGAGCUAAAACUUUCUUCAACCCAAG
rnacentral:misc_RNA from 1 species